rnacentral:rRNA from 1 species
UACGUAGGGGGCGAGCGUUGUCCGGAAUUACUGGGCGUAAAGGGCGCGUAGGCGGCCCGUUAAGUCCGCUGUGAAAGACCGAGGCUCAACCUCGGGGUGUCAGCGGAGACUGUCGGGCUGGAGUCUCGGAGAGGGAUGCGGAAUUCCUGGUGUAGCGGUGGAAUGCGUAGAGAUCAGGAGGAACACCGAUGGCGAAGGCAGCAUCCUGGCCGAGUACUGACGCUGAGACGCGAAAGCGUGGGGAGCGAACAGG